rnacentral:rRNA from 1 species
GUGGGGAAUAUUGGGCAAUGGGCGAAAGCCUGACCCAGCAACGCCGCGUGAGGGAAGAAGGCCUUCGGGUUGUAAACCUCUGUCCUUGGUGACGAAAAAAAUGACGGUAGCCAAGGAGGAAGCCCCGGCUAACUACGUGCCAGCAGCCGCGGUAAUACGUAGGGGGCGAGCGUUGUCCGGAAUUACUGGGCGUAAAGGGUGCGUAGGUGGCCUUUUAAGUUGGAUGUGAAAUACCCGGGCUUAACUUGGGGGGUGCAUCUAAUACUGGAGGGCUAGAGUCCAGGAGAGGGAAGCGGAAUUCCUAGUGUAGCGGUGAAAUGCGUAGAUAUUAGGAGGAACACCAGUGGCGAAGGCGGCUUUCUGGACUGUAACUGACACUGAGGCACGAAAGCGUGGGAAGCAAACGGGAUUAGAUACCCUGGUAGUCC